rnacentral:rRNA from 1 species
AGAAUCAACGCUGGCGGCGUGCCUAACACAUGCAAGUCGAACGAGAAAGUGGAGCAAUCCAUGAGUACAGUGGCGUACGGGUGAGUAACACGUGACUACCUACCCUCGAGUGGGGAAUAACCUCGGGAAACCGGGGCUAAUACCGCAUAACAUCUACGGAUCAAAUGCGAAAGCAGCUUGAGGAGGGGGUCGCGGCCGAUUAGCUAGUUGGUGAGGUAAUGGCUCACCAAGGCAAUGAUCGGUAGCCGGCCUGAGAGGGCGCACGGCCACACUGGAACUGAAACACGGUCCAGACUCCUACGGGAGGCAGCAGUGGGGAAUUUUGCGCAAUGGGGGAAACCCUGACGCAGCAACGCCGCGUGGAGGAUGAAGCCCCUUGGGGUGUAAACUCCUUUCGAUCGGGACGAUUAUGACGGUACCGGAUGAAGAAGCACCGGCUAACUCUGCGCCAGCAGCCGC